rnacentral:rRNA from 1 species
AUUGAACGCUGGCGGCAGGCCUAACACAUGCAAGUCGAGCGAGCGGCGGACGGGUGAGUAAUGUAUGGGGACUGCCCGAUAGAGGGGGAUCACUACUGGAAACGGUGGCUAAUACCGCAUACUAUCGGAUAACCCAUAUGGGAUUAGCUAGUAGGUGGGGUAAAGGCUCACCUAGGCUACGAUCUAUAGCUGGUCUGAGAGGAUGAUGAGCCACACGGGGACGGAGAAACGGCCCAGACGCCGACGGAGGCAGCAGUGGGGAAUAUUGCACAAUGGGCGCAAGCCUGAGACAGCCAUGCCGCGUGUAUGAAGAAGGCCUUAGGGUUGUAAAGUACUUUCAGCGGGGAGGCGUUACCCGCAGAAGAAGCACCGGCUAACUCCGUGCCAGCAGCCGCGGUAAUAC